GGGUAUUUAGCUCAGUGGCAUAAGCGCCUGCCUUGUAAGUAGGGAGUCAUGAGUUCGAUCCCCGGUGCCCA
rnacentral:tRNA from 1 species